rnacentral:rRNA from 1 species
GACGAACGCUGGCGGCGUGCCUAAUACAUGCCAGUCGAACGCUUCUUUCCUCCCGAGUGCUUGCACUCAAUUGGAAAGAGGAGUGGCGGACGGGUGAGUAACACGUGGGUAACCUACCCAUCAGAGGGGGAUAACACUUGGAAACAGGUGCUAAUACCGCAUAACAGUUUAUGCCGCAUGGCAUAAGAGUGAAAGGCGCUUUCGGGUGUCGCUGAUGGAUGGACCCGCGGUGCAUUAGCUAGUUGGUGAGGUAACGGCUCACCAAGGCCACGAUGCAUAGCCGACCUGAGAGGGUGAUCGGCCACACUGGGACUGAGACACGGCCCAGACUCCUACGGGAGGCAGCAGUAGGGAAUCUUCGGCAAUGGACGAAAGUCUGACCGAGCAACGCCGCGUGAGUGAAGAAGGUGUUCGGAUCGUAAAACUCUGUUGUUAGAGAAGAACAAGGACGUUAGUAACUGAACGUCCCCUGACGGUAUCUAACCAGAAAGCCACGGCUAACUACGUG